rfam:Trichinella patagoniensis scaffold131s, whole genome shotgun sequence.
CCAACGGUCCUUUUCAGGGCCACAUUUUGUUGAAAACAAUUUGUUG